UUGGAUAGAUAGAUAGAUUGACAGUCGUUGUUUGCAGGUGUUGCAUCAUCAAGAUUCACAUGCAAAUGCACGGUGGUGAUGAUAAUACUAACCAUCUUUUCCCCUUCUUCCCUUUCUAAUUUUAUUGCCAAAGUUCUUUGAAAGUGAGAAUCUUGAUGAUGCUGCAUCGGCAAUAUUAAACGACUAUACAAAAGAGAAAAAUGACUCUUUCCCUCAGUUUCAAAGUACAGUUUGCCACUUUGCAUUUCUACAUCAUAACAUCAACAAAAACAAGAUGAUUCUCUCUUUGUAAGUUACCCUUCUCUCUUCUUUUUCCGUUGUUGUCAGGUGGGUAUAGUAUUUUUUUUUUUUUACUUACUUCAAUCUUACUUUCACCCAUUCAAUAAAGGGUAUUUUUCUUUUUGCACUUUGCAGGGUAAGGUAUGACCAUAACAAAUAGUGUCUACAAGGCUGUUUGAAAAGGACUUUGACUUGCAGAUCUAUAAUUAUUCUUCUGAGCCAUAGAUACUGCUGCAGUGGAAAUGGCUACUUUUUCGUGGAAAAGGUCUUUGCCCUGGAACUAAAAAAGGUAGAGCCUUGACAUGAGAUGCUAUUGAGAUAGAAUAUGUCAAAAAGAUAUAUAGGCCAAGGAACAAUUUUUCUGAUAAGGAUGGUACUAGUUUAAUGAGCUUCGAUGAAGGCCAACUAGAUGUUGGCUGGCUGCAGGAGAGUGGUUUGGGCAGAAACUGUGAAACUCUGGAAAAAGAAUUAGUAGAUCGUUGAAAAUUGGAACAGCUCUGCGGAACUUCAAUGUGGGAGGAGCGAUCAUGGUGGUGGGAACAUGUCACAGUCAUUGCCAUUGUUUGUGUUCGCAUUAAUCACCUAUCAUCCUUGUUGGUGGACCAACCACCAGAGAAGCAUCUUUGCAACUUGGACUCUUAAACAUGUUCUCUCUCUCUUUCUCUCUCUCUCUGAAGUCUAUUCACUACUCCCACCUAUUUUUCAUCCCUUCAAUAAUACUAGUACCCCAGAAAUUUCUUCAUAAUGUAUAUCUCUAAUUGUGCUUCUUCAUUCUUGAAAGUAAUGACUCAGUUUACAAAAUUAUGGAUAUCAUAUCUCUGUUGAAUUUAUAUACUGUAGCUCUUUGAGCCAGUUUCUUGUUUGUGUUUAGCAGAAAAAAUCUUUCAGGGUUCUCAUCUUGGUCGUAUAUAUAUAUAUAGCAAG